rnacentral:rRNA from 1 species
CCUACGGGUGGCACCAGUGAGGAAUAUUGGUCAAUGGUCGCAAGACUGAACCAGCCAUGCCGCGUGCAGGAUGACGGUCCUAUGGAUUGUAAACUGCUUUUGUACGGGAAGAAACACUCCUACGUGUAGGGGCUUGACGGUACCGUAAGAAUAAGGAUCGGCUAACUCCGUGCCAGCAGCCGCGGUAAUACGGAGGAUCCGAGCGUUAUCCGGAAUCAUUGGGUUUAAAGGGUCCGUAGGCGGCCCUGUAAGUCAGCGGUGAAAUCUCCCGGCUCAACCGGGAAACUGCCGUUGAUACUGCAGGGCUUGAAUUGCCGGGAAGUAACUAGAAUAUGUAGUGUAGCGGUGAAAUGCUUAGAUAUUACAUGGAAUACCGAUUGCGAAGGCAGGUUACUACCGGCGUAUUGACGCUGAUGGACGAAAGCGUGGGGAGCGAACAGGAUUAGAUACCCUAGUAGUC